CCUAUGACUCAAAGGAACCAGGAAGCCUGAUAAAACUGGGCAUCUGAUUCUGAGGUCACCGAAGGCUCGUCUCCAGACGGGAACACGGCCUCGCGGUGAACAGGAAUAAUGGGCUAAUGGGAGGAAAAGCCAUGAGAUUCUUGCUGAACAAAAAGGAAAAAGAAAGAGACAAGCUUCCUCUGUCCGCUUGAGAGCUUCUGACCUUCCUCAAGGCUGAAAUCAGAACAUUCCUCUCC
rnacentral:lncRNA from 1 species